ACGGAGGCAGCAGUGGGGAAUAUUGGGCAAUGGGCGAAAGCCUGACCCAGCAACGCCGCGUGAAGGAAGAAGGCCUUCGGGUUGUAAACUUCUUUUAUCAGGGACGAAGAAAGCGACGGUACCUGAUGAAUAAGCCACGGCUAACUACGUGCCAGCAGCCGCGGUAAUACGUAGGUGGCAAGCGUUAUCCGGAUUUACUGGGUGUAAAGGGCGCGUAGGCGGGGAUGCAAGUCAGAUGUGAAAUCUAUGGGCUCAACUCAUAAACUGCAUUUGAAACUGUAUCUCUUGAGUGUCGGAGAGGUAGACGGAAUUCCUAGUGUAGCGGUGAAAUGCGUAGAUAUUAGGAGGAACACCAGUGGCGAAGGCGGUCUGCUGGACGAUAACUGACGCUGAGGCGCGAAAGCGUGGGGAGCAAACAGGAUUAGAUACCCUGGUA
rnacentral:rRNA from 1 species